GGAGGUCACUGCUAUUGGGAUUCGGCUAAGCCAUGCAAGCGGAGGGCGCGGUCGAAAGAUCGUGGCCCCGCACACUGCUCAGUAACACGUAGUCAACCUACCCUUGGGACGGGGACAACCUCGGGAAACUGAGGCUAAUCCCCGAUAGGUGAGGGACGCUGGAAUGCCUCCUCGCCCAAAGCUCCGGCGCCCAAGGAUGGGACUGCGGUCUAUCAGGCUGUUGGUGGUGUAACGGACCACCAAACCUACGACGGGUACGGGCGAUGGGAGUCGGAGCCCGGAGAUGAGGACUGAGACAAGGCCCCAGGCCCUACGGGGCGCAGCAGGCGCGAAAACUCCGCAAUGCGCGCAAGCGUGACGGGGGAAUCCCAAGUGCCGUUGGUCUUAUGAUCGACGGUUUUUAGGAAGUCUAAGAAGCUUCCAGAAUAAGGGCUGGGCAAGACUGGUGCCAGCCGCCGCGGUAAUACCAGCAGCCCAAGUGGUGACCACGAUUAUUGGGCCUAAAGCGCUCGUAGCCGGAUCAGCAAGUCCCUUGUGAAAUCGGGCCGCCUAACGGUUCGNCGUGCAANGNAUACUGUUGGUCUUGAGGCCGGGAGAGGUCGGAGGUACUCCUGGGGUAGCGGUGAAAUGCUCUAAUCCUANGGGGACCACCAGUGGCGANNCGUCCGAC
rnacentral:rRNA from 1 species